rnacentral:rRNA from 1 species
UACGUAGGGUGCAAGCGUUAAUCGGAAUUACUGGGCGUAAAGCGUGCGCAGGCGGUUUUGUAAGUCUGUCGUGAAAGCCCCGGGCUCAACCUGGGAAUUGCGAUGGAGACUGCAAGGCUUGAAUCUGGCAGAGGGGGGUAGAAUUCCACGUGUAGCCGUGAAAUGCGUAGAGAUGUGGAGGAACACCGAUGGCGAAGGCAGCCCCCUGGGUCAAGAUUGACGCUCAUGCACGAAAGCGUGGGGAGCAAACAGG